rnacentral:lncRNA from 1 species
GAAAAUCCGGGUGGGAACAAGGAGCAGGAGCUCAUUACAGGGACAAUGUUGCCGCUGAGAUACAAGUAAAACUAGCGUGUGCUGCAGUGUGUGAGAGGAGAGAAAAAACAGUGGGGGCUCAACAAAAGCAGCGGAUGUAGCAGGUUCUUAGGCAAGGCCCCCACUGAUGAGAGCCUCUGGCUGUGGGCCAGGCUCAGGUAGCCACAGAAAGCUCACAGCACAGCCCCCAGCUGAACCGCAAGCCUCUGCCCCACCGUCCCCACCUCAGAGCAAAGAAGAAACUUGAAGCAGACGCUGCUCCCCAAAAGCAGUGCCCCAAAAUAUGCUGGGGCAGGCACCAUGGGCAAGGCUGUCUCCUUCUGGCCCUGCCGUCCUGCUGCUGGUGAUCUGUGGCAGCAUGAGCUCCCAGGACAUCUGCAGCUCCCCAGGGGAUCUUCCAGCUCCUGCUUUCCAAAUGAACUUAACUUCUGCUCAGCCAGGUACCACAGUUGUGCUCCAGUGUAUUCUCCAUGUGUUUUCACAUACAAGACGAAUCAUCUUCUGCAAGGAUGGGAAGGAGGUGUACAGCCAGGAAGCCCAGCAAGGGCAGCUGAGCUACUUCACAGUCCUGAACAUCACGUCAAGAAGCGCAGGAAGAUAUACAUGUGGGUACCAGCAGAGGAAUGAGAUGAAACAGAGGAGGAGCUCUGCCCUCAGUGCUGGCCGCAUCCUGAAUGUCCCUGGUGAGUCAUGGCCCUGGGCUGGAGGGGUGAGAAGGGACGGAGGCAC